rnacentral:rRNA from 1 species
AUUGAACGCUGGCGGCAGGCUUAACACAUGCAAGUCGAGCGGAGAUGAGGUGCUUGCACCUUAUCUUAGCGGCGGACGGGUGAGUAAUGCUUAGGAAUCUGCCUAUAGUGGGGGACAACAUUCCGAAAGGAAUGCUAAUACCGCAUACGCCCUACGGGGGAAAGCAGGGGAUCUUCGGACCUUGCGCUAAUAGAUGAGCCUAAGUCGGAUUAGCUAGUUGGUGGGGUAAAGGCCUACCAAGGCGACGACCUGUAGCGGGUCUGAGAGGAUGAUCCGCCACACUGGGACUGAGACACGGCCCAGACUCCUACGGGAGGCAGCAGUGGGGAAUAUUGGACAAUGGGCGGAAGCCUGAUCCAGCCAUGCCGCGUGUGUGAAGAAGGCCUUUUGGUUGUAAAGCACUUUAAGCGAGGAGGAGGCUACCUGGAUUAAUACUCUAGGAUAGUGGACGUUACUCGCAGAAUAAGCACCGGCUAACUCUGUGCCAGCCGCCGCGGUAAAAC